rnacentral:rRNA from 1 species
UACAGAGGUCUCAAGCGUUGUUCGGAUUCAUUGGGCGUAAAGGGUGCGUAGGUGGCGCCGUAAGUCGGGUGUGAAAUUUCGGAGCUCAACUCCGUAACUGCAUUCGAUACUGCGGUGCUUGAGGACUGGAGAGGAGACUGGAAUUCAUGGUGUAGCAGUGAAAUGCGUAGAGAUCAUGAGGAAGACCAGUGGCGAAGGCGGGUCUCUGGACAGUUCCUGACACUGAGGCACGAAGGCCAGGGGAGCAAACGGG